rnacentral:rRNA from 1 species
GUAAUAGCUCACUGGUCGAGUCGGCCUGCGCGGAAGAUGUAACGGGGCUAAACCAUGCACCGAAGCUGCGGCAGCGACGCUUAUGCGUUGUUGGGUAGGGGAGCGUUCUGUAAGCCUGCGAAGGUGUGCUGUGAGGCAUGCUGGAGGUAUCAGAAGUGCGAAUGCUGACAUAAGUAACGAUAAAGCGGGUGAAAAGCCCGCUCGCCGGAAGACCAAGGGUUCCUGUCCAACGUUAAUCGGGGCAGGGUGAGUCGACCCCUAAGG